AAUCUCUGUUCGAUUCAAAAACUUCAAAAAGAGCUUCAAAGCAAGAUCCCCAUUUCAUUGAUUCAUUCUUCAAUACGGAGAAGAAGAGAAAGACGAAGAAGAUUAUAACUUGCAGGAAUAAUAAUGGGGUUGUGCAAGCUAGUGGAUGCGAUUCUUUUCCUCUUCUUCCUGGUUAUAGCGGUGGUAGUUCCGCUUCUGGACUCCCAGACUUGUUUACCAAUGCACCUGUUUCCAGAUUUCCUCAUCGACCUCAGUUCCUGGUACGCCCGUGAGUAUGGAGAUUACCUCAUCGUUGAAAAGCCUGAUUUCUUUGUUGCGCUUGUCUGGCUUGAGCUCAUCCUCCAAUGGCCCCUUUCCAUUGCCAACCUUUACGCCAUUCUCUCCAGGAAGUCCUGGUUCAGCAAGACUUGCUUGAUCUACGGUGUCUCCAGUACCACUUCCAUGGUUGCGAUUUUAGGGGAAAUGAUUGGUUCGCGCAAGGCAUCGGACAAGCUUAUCAUGAUGUAUUCUCCGUUCUUGGGUUUUGCUGUCCUUGCGGUUCUGCGUGGGCUGGUGCCAAGCGGGGGCAGGAGCAGGAAACCUACUUCAACUAAUGCCACAAUGGCUAGGAAAAAGAGGGCUUGAAGGUUCACACUACAUAACCCACCAACCCAUCUUCAUUUUUGUUCUGAUUUUCGUAUUUGUUCUUCUAGCAUUCUUGAAGAGGAAAAAAUAUUCCAUCUUCUAAUGUGUUUUUUGUUUUUAGAGCAAGAGAUAGAGAGAGAAAGAGAUCUUUGAAUCUGAUGUAUC